rnacentral:rRNA from 1 species
GUUCGGAAACGGACGCUAAUACCGCAUACGUCCUACGGGAGAAAGCAGGGGACCUUCGGGCCUUGCGCUAUCAGAUGAGCCUAGGUCGGAUUAGCUAGUUGGUGAGGUAAUGGCUCACCAAGGCGACGAUCCGUAACUGGUCUGAGAGGAUGAUCAGUCACACUGGAACUGAGACACGGUCCAGACUCCUACGGGAGGCAGCAGUGGGGAAUAUUGGACAAUGGGCGAAAGCCUGAUCCAGCCAUGCCGCGUGUGUGAAGAAGGUCUUCGGAUUGUAAAGCACUUUAAGUUGGGAGG